UUACCGUGAGCAGCGAAUCUAUGUUUUUACCUGCUUGAUGAUAGAAUUGAAGAUAUAAACGCCGAGAAGAGGGGGGAAAGACAAAAAGCGAAGCGGUAUAAAGUAAAUGUUGUUUUAUUUCUAUGAUUGUUUCAGACGAUAAACAAGAUUGCAACGUUUGAUAUAUUUAAUGACAGUUGCGUCUGUACAUUUGGUGGUGUGUUUAAUGUUCGAUGCAUUUCUGCAUUUUAUGCUAUACACACCGUUCUGUCAACGAAACACAAGUCUUCUUCUACCCAAGAAUCUGUCGUACAAUAGAUUCCGUUGUCGUCAUUGUCAUCACACAUUUACCUGGCUGUCAUCACAUCAAAGAAUCGGUACAAAAACUUAAUGACGACAUCAAUAUUUCCGAAGAUAUCUUUAUAGGUGACACACAUACACACAUGCGCACAGGUGCUUCCAUGGUCGCGAGCAGACACAGACACCUCUUUUUCCUUCUCAUCCUUGACCCAGCUGAAUAUCGAGGAUAUAACCAGAGCUAGAAUGGCACUCGUUUUCUGAAUAAAAUGACGCAACCGGAAGUAAAGUGGAUUCGUCGAGGACACGACGAGCUGCCUGGUCAAAGAAUCGAACCCACGACUCGUGAUUGUGAGCCAAACACCUUAAUCACUAGACCACGCGUCUUCACUCUUGAUAUUACUACAUAUACUAAGCCCAGCGAGCUGGCAAAAUCGUUAGCGCGCCGGAGAAAAUGCUUCGCGGUAUUUCAUCCGACUUAACAUCAAAAGAAACGCCUCUAAAUACUAAGCAUUUUUUCUGAGUUCAAAUACCACCGAGGUUGACUUUGUCUUUUAUCUUUUCGGGGUCGAUAAAUUAAGUACCAGCUGAGCACUGGGGGUUUAUGUUAUCGAUUCACCCCUUCUCUGAAUUUGCUGGCCUUGUGCCAAAAUGUGAAACUGAUAUUACUACAUAUACGAAAUAUCAUUACUAAAUAUUUUUCUUUUAAAUCAAAUAUAUUCCUUUCUACUCUUGGUACAAGGUCUGAAAUUUGUGGGGAGGGGCUAAUCGAUUACAUCGACCCCCAGUGCGCAAUUGCUACAUAUUUUAUCGACCCCAAAAGUAUGAAAGAUAAAGUUAAUCUCGGUAGCAUUUGAUCUCAGAACGUAAAGAUGGAUGAAAUGCCACUAAGCAUUUUGUGCGGCGUUCUAACGAUUCUGCCAUCUCACCACCUUGAUCAUCGAAAUAAAUAAUACAGUCACA